CACCUCCAUGUUUUUGGACACAACUUCUCCUCAGAGAGCCGCCUGCUGUCUCUGUCUGUGUUCGAUCCAACAGCUGUGAUCGUCAGAUGGGUGGUGGUGCCGCUGUCUCUCCUGCUGCUGCAGGGGGCGCUGUGGCUGUACUGUAAGGCCAGCAGGAGGCAGACCGGCAGACUGGCAGACCGGGCGGAUGCUGAGCUGAGUGCAGUGGAGGGAUGAAGUCGGUCCACUGAA